UCNUACGGGAGGCAGCAGUAGGGANUNUUCCAAUGGANGCAANUCUGACGGANCCCGGUGAGUGAAGAAGGUNUUCGGAUNGUAAAGCUCUNUUGUUAGGGAAGAACANGUACCGUUUGAAUAGGGCGGUACCUUGACUGUCCCUCACCAGAAACCCGGGGNUAUUUGCGCCCCCGCAGCCGGGGUAAUAUGUGGGUGGCAAGCGUUAUCGGGAUUUAUGGGGUGAAAAGCGCGCGCAGGGGGUCUUUAAUGUGUGAUGAAAAAGCCCGGGUCUCACCCGGGGAGGGUCAUUGGAAGGGAGGNUUGGAGUGCAGAAGGGGAGAGGGAAUUUCCGGGUGUAGGGGUAAAAUGCGUAGAUAUGGGGGGGAACCCCAGGGGGGAGGGGGGCUCUGGGGUUUAAGACUGACGGUGGGGCGAAAAAGCGGGGGUAGCAAACGGGUUUAGAUCCCCGGGUAUUCCACCCUNUAAGCGAGGAGUGUUGGGUGUUAGGGGUUCCANCCUUUAGUGCGCAGNUAACNCAA
rnacentral:rRNA from 1 species